rnacentral:rRNA from 1 species
CUACGGGGUGCUGCAGUGAGGAAUAUUGGUCAAUGGGGGAAACCCUGAACCAGCGACGCCGCGUGUGGGAUGAAUGGGCUCUGCCCUGUAAACCACUGUUAGUAGGGAAAAAAUAUCCGCUUAGCGGAUGGGGAUUGUACCUGCAAAGAAAGGAUCGGCUAACUACGUGCCAGCAGCCGCGGUAAUACGUAGGAUCCAAGCGUUGUCCGGAAUUACUGGGUAUAAAGGGUGCGUGGGCGGGCUUGUGCGUCAGGGGUUAAAUACCACGGCUUAACCGUGGGCCAGCCCUUGAUACGGCAGGUCUUGAGUGUGAGAGAGGAUAGUAGAAUUCCUGGUGUAGCGGUGAAAUGCGUAGAUAUCAGGAGGAAUACCGGUGGCGAAGGCGGCUAUCUGGCUCACUACUGACGCUGAGGCACGAAAGCGUGGGGAGCGAACAGGAUUAGAUACCCGCGUAGUC